CUGUUUUACAUAAAGAAUGAGAUUCACAGCUACGUGCAAGGAAUCAUGAUAGUAAGUUCCUACUUCACCAGACUAAAAAGUCUCUAGGAUGAACGAGGAGUACUAUGUUCGAUUGUGGCAUGUAAUUGUGAAACAAAGAAGGAGAUUGCUUUGUACGUUGAAACACAGAAGACCAUGAAGUUUCUCAUGGGGUUGAAUGAUUCUUAUGCCACCGUUCGCAACAACAUUCUUCUCUUGAGCCACUGCCCACAGUAAACAAAGCCUACUCAUUGGUUCUCCGUGUUGAGAGACAGGCGGAAGUUUCCGGUGGGAAAAACAAUAUUACCCAACCAGAAGUUGCGGAAUUUGCCGUGAAAACCACUAGCCGAGAAGCUGAAUAAGAGGACGGUGGACCUCGAUUUGGGAAGUGCAACAAGACGAAUCACACUACUAAAAAUUGUCGUGCUUAUCUCAAGUGUACCUUCUGUGGAUGGAAGGGUCACUUUUUUGGUUUUUGCCUCAAGAGGAAGACAGCCUUUGAGAGUGAACAAAGUCGACCUUUCUCCUCCAAAGGCAAUCAAGUUGCAACCCACGACAAAAGGGAAGUGAUGCCUAACUUUCCUUUUUCUCAGGAGGAUUGCAAGCAAAUUCUCCAAAUGCUGAACAGGAACAAAUCAUAUUUUGCCAACCAAGUGGGUAAUUCUUCAAACCAUAAGAACUUUCAGGACCUACGUUCAGGGAAGAUGAUUGUGACGGGAAUUGAACGAGAUGGACUUUAUUAUCUCGACCCACCAAAGAAAGGAACAUGCAAAACUGUCAAAACCCCACCUUAUAGCUUUUGGCAUCAACUUUUUGGGCACUCCAUCGCAUAAAGUUUCCAUGUUAUUUCCUUUUUUCCAAAAUAAAUCUUGUGAUUCAAAUAAAUGUUUCAUUUUUGCUCAUUGGCCAAACAAAUGAGAUUACCGUUUCAUUGA